rfam:Halobacteroidaceae bacterium T328-2 scaffold_428, whole genome shotgun sequence.
AGUCCUUUUAAAUUAGUCCUGUGAGGCUGGUAAGGGGAAUUAAUAGAUUUAUGCUAUUACCUUCUUACUCUUGCUCAGGGUGAGAAGUUUUUUUA